GGAAGAUGGGAGCUUGCUCCCUGAUGUUAGCGGCGGACGGGUGAGUAACACGUGGGUAACCUGCCUGUAAGACUGGGAUAACUCCGGGAAACCGGGGCUAAUACCGGAUGCUUGUUUGAACCGCAUGGUUCAAACAUAAAAGGUGGCUUCGGCUACCACUUACAGAUGGACCCGCGGCGCAUUAGCUAGUUGGUGAGGUAACGGCUCACCAAGGCAACGAUGCGUAGCCGACCUGAGAGGGUGAUCGGCCACACUGGGACUGAGACACGGCCCAGACUCCUACGGGAGGCAGCAGUAGGGAAUCUUCCGCAAUGGACGAAAGUCUGACGGAGCAACGCCGCGUGAGUGAUGAAGGUUUUCGGAUCGUAAAGCUCUGUUGUUAGGGAAGAACAAGUACCGUUCGAAUAGGGCGGUACCUUGACGGUACCUAACCAGAAAGCCACGGCUAACUACGUGCCAGCAGCCGCGGUAAUACGUAGGUGGCAAGCGUUGUCCGGAAUUAUUGGGCGUAAAGGGCUCGCAGGCGGUUUCUUAAGUCUGAUGUGAAAGCCCCCGGCUCAACCGGGGAGGGUCAUUGGAAACUGGGGAACUUGAGUGCAGAAGAGGAGAGUGGAAUUCCACGUGUAGCGGUGAAAUGCGUAGAGAUGUGGAGGAACACCAGUGGCGAAGGCGACUCUCUGGUCUGUAACUGACGCUGAGGAGCGAAAGCGUGGGGAGCGAACAGGAUUAGAUACCCUGGUAGUCCACGCCGUAAACGAUGAGUGCUAAGUGUUAGGGGGUUUCCGCCCCUUAGUGCUGCAGCUAACGCAUUAAGCACUCCGCCUGGGGAGUACGGUCGCAAGACUGAAACUCAAAGGAAUUGACGGGGGCCCGCACAAGCGGUGGAGCAUGUGGUUUAAUUUGAAGCAACGCGAAGAACCUUACCAGGUCUUGACAUCCUCUGACAAUCCUAGAGAUAGGACGUCCCCUUCGGGGGCAGAGUGACAGGUGGUGCAUGGUUGUCGUCAGCUCGUGUCGUGAGAUGUUGGGUUAAGUCCCGCAACGAGCGCAACCCUUGAUCUUAGUUGCCAGCAUUCAGUUGGGCACUCUAAGGUGACUGCCGGUGACAAACCGGAGGAAGGUGGGGAUGACGUCAAAUCAUCAUGCCCCUUAUGACCUGGGCUACACACGUGCUACAAUGGACAGAACAAAGGGCAGCGAAACCGCGAGGUUAAGCCAAUCCCACAAAUCUGUUCUCAGUUCGGAUCGCAGUCUGCAACUCGACUGCGUGAAGCUGGAAUCGCUAGUAAUCGCGGAUCAGCAUGCCGCGGUGAAUACGUUCCCGGGCCUUGUACACACCGCCCGUCACACCACGAGAGUUUGUAACACCCGAAGUCGGUGAGGUAACCUUUUAGGAGCC
rnacentral:rRNA from 1 species